CUAACAAGGAUUCCCCUAGUAACGGCGAGUGAAGCGGGAAGAGCUCAAAUUUGUAAUCUGGCGGCCCCGCGGCCGUCCGAGUUGUAGUCUGGAGAAGCGUCUUCUGCGUCGGACCGUGUACAAGUCCCUUGGAACAGGGCGUCACAGAGGGUGAGAAUCCCGUCUUUGACACGGACUGCCGGCGCUGUGUGAUGCGCUCUCGAAGAGUCGAGUUGUUUGGGAAUGCAGCUCAAAACGGGUGGUAAAUUCCAUCUAAAGCUAAAUAUGGGCGAAAGACCGAUAGCGAACAAGUACCGUGAGGGAAAGAUGAAAAGCACUUUGGAAAGAGAGUUAAACAGUACGUGAAAUUGUUGAAAGGGAAACGCUUGAAGUCAGUCGCGUCUCCCGGGAUUCAGCCUCGCUUCUGCGUGGCGUACUUCCCGGGGCGACGGGCCAGCAUCGAUUUCGACCGUCGGAGAAAGGCCCCGGGAACGUGGCACCUUCGGGUGUGUUAUAGCCCUGGGUCGCAUGCGACGGUUCCGGGAUCGAGGACCGCAGCGCGCCCUUUUUUGUGGCCGGGGUUCGCCCACGUAACGCGCUUAGGAUGCUGGCGUAAUGGCUUUAAGCGACCCGUCUUG
rnacentral:rRNA from 1 species